rnacentral:rRNA from 1 species
UACGGAGGAUGCAAGCGUUAUCCGGAAUGAUUGGGCGUAAAGCGUCCGCAGGUGGCUGUGUAAGUCUGCUGUUAAAGAGUGAGGCUCAACCUCAUAAAAGCAGUGGAAACUACACGGCUAGAGUGCGUUCGGGGCAGAGGGAAUUCCUGGUGUAGCGGUGAAAUGCGUAGAGAUCAGGAAGAACACCGGUGGCGAAAGCGUUCUGCUAGGCCUGUACUGACACUGAGGGACGAAAGCUAGGGGAGCGAAUGGG